CAUCCUAGUACUACUCUCGCC
rnacentral:sRNA from 1 species